GUCAAAGGCAAAAAAAAUGUUUUAAGUUCAUUAGACCACAUUCACUGUGUGUCAAAAACCUUUGAUGUGUCAACUAUUCAAUCACAAUCCAAAUUUAGAGCUGAAUCCAGCUUGAAUGUUGUAUCCAUUAUACUUGCCCCAACCGUUCAGGGUUCAACCUCUGUGGUCGUAUAAAGCCGCGCCUGUGGAGCAUCUGGUUAUUUUUUCAUUUACAAUUUUAUAUCGAUUAAAAAAUAUAUGUUUGACUGAAAGCCUAGCGUUCAUACAUGGUUUGAGUAAAAUGAUUCAUUCCUUCGUUAAUAUAUGAAUACGUUCGUUAAUAUAUGAAUACGACAUUCGCAUCAUUGAAAUUGGGUGCCGAUUUUUUUGGGGGUAUUUUUUGGGGGGUAUUUUUUUUGUUUGUUUUUCUUUUUUUCUUUAAAUCCUGUACACAAAAUAAAAUUUGAGAUUUGUUCAAUAGCACUGUAUUUCUUAUUUUCCGACUUAACUUUGUCACUUUUUCAGAUCAAAAUACUUUGCCAAAUGAUGUUUAACACGCGUCUGGCGUACUAAAUUAUAAUCCUGGUACCUUUGAUAACUAUUAAUGUAUAAUUUCAACAGUUUUCCUGUUUAUGAUAUUAAAUUAUAAAUUUCGAUUUCAAACUUGUGUAGCGUUACUUUUGUUGACUAGUAUACUUGAUGAAUGUGUGAUAGAUGAAAACAUGUGCUUCUGUCCUCCGUCUUGUGUUUCUUAACAGCUACAGAUGAUAACUUCUUUGUAUUAUAUUCUAGCUUUGAUAAGAUAAGCCUUACAAUAUUAUAAAUUUUUCUGUCGUGCGUAUACUUUUUGCAUGACAAAUAAAUGUUUUACUUUAAAAUGUAAAGAACUGAUAGCAUUGUUCUUUUUACACGGUUUUAAGUUCGGAAAUGUCAGCAAACAUUAUAACACAGAUUUCUGUGAAUUUACAUUGUUAAAAGAGUUUUUACUAUUCUCCUCUAGUUUCAGGUAAACAAAAUGAUUGAGAUGGUUGGUUGAACAAAAAUUAACCGGACAAAACCAACAGGCAGUUAUAUCGUUAUAUAUUAUAUAUAGUUUGUGGACUUGAAAUUGUUUUUGUUAAAAUGUUCAAUACGGUAUGAUUUUUUAAAAUUUUUCUUCAAGUAUUCCUGACUAUAACUUUUUUCGGAGAUGAAAAAGAAAAACAGAAAAAAGAAAGUCAACAAAGCAUUACAAACCCAAUGAUGAAUUAUGUCAUCCGGAACGGUCAGCAGUUUUUGAAUAUAGACGCAUCAUGGUAUGUCAUGAUUUUUGUAGUCUAUGAAAUUUGACAAAAAAUAAGCAAGGAGUCAAAAGUACAGAUGUACUUUGGAGAUAAAGUUAAAUUUUGAAGAAAAAAAAUAUCAGAAUAUAUUUUUUGUCAUCUUUUUAUUAUAACGUAUUGCUUAUGACAUAUGUGAUUUUGUCUUAAUACUUAUAAAUUUAUGGUUGCAAACUAUUAAUUAUAUGAUAUGAAUCUUUUUUAUUGUACAGAUAAUUUAAAUGUGUUCAUUUGAUGUACCCCGCUCAUAACACCUUAAUUUGUAAAACAUGUGCCUUUGUCCAACAAAUUAGUGCAUUGCGCAUUAUGGAGUCAUAAAUAUUUUAUCUGGAGUCAGUUUCAUAACCAAAAGAAAACUUACGACUAUUAACGAUUAAUUGUAAGUCUUGAACAAUUCAACUAGUGUACUUACGAUCAAUCUUAGUCGUAAGUAUUUAUGUGAAAACAUACUCUUGCAUUUAUUGCUAAAUGAAACUAAGGCAUUAUGCCAUUAAUCGUCCAAAUUACUAUAGUAUGAAGAGACUGUUCUAAUUUUUUAACAUGGCGCCGUUUUCAAUAAUCAUGAUGUCUUGAACGGCAAUUUUAAUUUCUUUGCAGCAAAGAAUCAAAAUAGCAGUUCAAGACGUCGGGCGUCAGAGAAAACAAAUAUAAAUCGCCUUUAGAAAUAAAAAAAAACUAUAUUAAAGGUUUCAUAUGAUUAUUUGGACUACUGAAGAAAAUGCUAAAUUAAAUAUGUGUGAAUCUAAUACAGCGCCAUAUGAUGCUCUGCAGGACAGAGAAGUGUUGUAAGUGUUGGGGUAUAAUGUUACUUGUUAUGUUUGUAUUAAAAUUUUAUAAA
rnacentral:lncRNA from 1 species